AUUGAACGCUGGCGGCAGGCCUAACACAUGCAAGUCGAACGGUAACAGGAAACUGCUUGCUGUUUCGCUGACGAGUGGCGGGCGUGUGAGUAAUGUCUGUGAAACUGCCUGAUGGAGGGGGAUAACUACUGGAAACGGUUGCUACUACCGCAUAGCGUCGCAAGACCAAAGAGGGGGACCUUCCGGCCUCUCGGCUUCGGCUGUGCCCAGGUGGGAUUAGCGAGUAGGUGGGGUAACGGCUCACCUAGGCGACGAUCCCUAGCUGGUCUGAGAGGAUGACCAGCCACACUGGAACUGAGACACGGUCCAGACUCCUACGGGAGGCAGCAGUGGGGAAUAUUGGACAAUGGGCGAAAGCCUGAUGCAGCCAUGCCGCGUGUAUGAAGAAGGUCUUCGGGUUGUAAAGUACUUUCAGCGGGGAGGAAGGGAAGAAAGUUAAUACCUUUCCUUAUUGACGUUACCAGCAGAAGAAGCACCGGCUAACUCCGUG
rnacentral:rRNA from 1 species